CUACCUGCUCACGAAACUUUAGUGUGGCUGCGGCCCAAUGGGCCCUCCAAAACAAAACUUUGUCAUUCGCAGAUGCAAAACCCGCACCCACAAUUUAACGGUUUUGGCAUAGCAAAUGUAUCUAGAUCCUAGAUGCUUAAUGGCAGAGCCACCGGGUCCAACCAGACCAAACGUGGCUGCACGCAACGACGAGAACCGGUUGAAGUACGCCUGUGACGCCGGAAUCUUAACGGACGAUUUCAACGCCAAUGACCUCGACGGCGAAGAUUCUAAUAGCACACCAAGUUUUGACUCCGAGAGCUGCAAGUCGCCGCGUCUGGAGGAUCUGGCGGCCAGUUUACGUGUCUUCUCUGAGUCGCUAGCGAGAAUGGAUCUGGCUGAGACAGAGAUGACCAGGGCGAGGGAGACUUGGCGGUGCGAGGCAGAGAAGAGGCGGAUGGAGUUGGAGGCCGAAUUGACUCGCCUGAUGUUGGGGACUCAGUUGCAGAUCGCAUUGAUUGUCGCAGGGAAGGGGCCGAGUAAGAAAAGGAAGCGAGCUGAAGAAAUGGAAGAUGAAUCAGGCAUCUCUCCAAGGCAAAGAGCUUUAUUGCUAAGUUUGCUACAAUGCAACUUCAGCUUUUGAAGUAUACAAUGGCACAUCCUUUGUUUCUACUCGUCUUCUUUCUGGUCAAUCUGAAACAAUAUUUUGUUAGGUGCUUUGCAUACUGGGUAACAAUUUCCUGACGGUUCUGCUCAUUAGGAAGACCAAAAGUAAUCAUUGAAUCAAAUCGGCCUAUAAUACCGGUUAAACGUGAGUUAGAAAACACUCCCUCAAGAAAAGAAUUGUACCCCUAUACCGAAUCAAAGCAGGAUCAAGGUCUUGUUUUCUAUUUGAAGCAGCAAUGACACCCAUGUUCUUGUUCUGUUCAAAUCAAUCAGUCUGCACAAAUGAUCAAAGCA